rnacentral:rRNA from 1 species
UACGUAGGCGGCAAGCGUUGUCCGGAUUUACUGGGCGUAAAGAGCGCGCAGGCGGUCGUUCAAGUCGCGUGUGAAAGCCCCCGGCUCAACUGGGGAGGGUCACGCGAUACUGAUCGACUCGAAGGCAGGAGAGGGUAGUGGAAUUCCCGGUGUAGUGGUGAAAUGCGUAGAUAUUUGGAAGAACACCGGUGGCGAAGGCGGCUCACUGGUCCGAUACUGACACUGAGGUGCGAAAGCGUGGGGAGCAAACAGG